UGAUUUUUUUCUCAUUCAUAUUUUCAGGCUGUUGAUGGUACCUAUUACAAAGAUACAAAGUCCCAACACAUAAAAGAUAAGUAACACCUACUCUGUAUUCAAUACUGCAUUGGAAACAAUUCACACAAACACAGUUUGACUAUCCCUUCAGUAAAACUGAGCUACAUUUUCCCAACAUAGCUUUGCAAUUUCCCAACAAAAAUCCCCCCCUCCCCCUUUUUUUUUUUACUAGCUCUUCAGUGAUACUAUGCUGAGUGCAGACUUAUCUACUUGGCACUCAUUCUUUACAGAUACUUGCUACUAACAUUAAGAUUUCUAAAUUACAAAAGUCUUCCAGGGACUUUAUGGGAUCAAGCUAAAAAAAAUAAUUUCCAAUUUCUAUUGUGAUGUGCUAAAAUACAUUAAGAUUGGUCAGACAGUUUCUUUUUUCCGAAGGUGGGAAUGAAAGGCAAGAGAUGGGAUAUUGAUUUGGGGUUUCGGAUGAAACAACAUUAUAAGAACUCAAUCCUUGUGCUCCCUACGUAUGUCCACAGUAAUAAGAUCUGGCUAAACAAGUUUUAAGCGAUAAUCUCUUUGGUCUUUAGUGCCAACAGAGGGGAGCGAAGCAGCAAGAUAAGUUCCUGCAAACCCAUUCACUGCAAACACAUAAAAGAUGCGAUUUCAACAGCCGAAGGUACGGCAUCAACUGGGGAGAUCUAGCUUGACUUUCAGAUCCUAAACUAAAACUGGAAGGAGAAGACCCCUCAAGACCAUUCCCUAGGCAUACAGUACCGCUACAACAGCGGUCAGUGAGAAACACCACGCACCAAACAUCCCAGUACCAUUUUCUCGUCUUUCUUUUAAGCUAAAGCACAUUCGAACGUACAGUUAAGAGGAAGCAGCUUUAACUUGGAAGACGCUCCAGGAAUUACUCUCCUAGAAAAAAAGCAGUGUAAGAAGGAAUACCCAGAGGCCACAUUGUCUCUCCUAAGUCAAGGCUGCCGCCUUGGCUUGAAACACCGACUGCAGACUUUGAUCGGCAAAUUUUACACGCUCUCUGGCAUGAAACAGCUGGACGGUACCCGAGCCCUCGAGAUCAUAGCCGGAGCCGGGCAAAGCGGCAAGAGAGUCAUUUACGAGCCUGUUGAAAAGUGAAAUAAAAUCUGAUAGGUCAGCAAAACAGGAAAUACGAACGUGUGGACGUAACACCCAGAGGACGCAGCCGAAGAGCGCUACAAGAACCGGAGUCAGGGUGUCAUAUGUGUACUGCCAGACCACCUGGACGAGUUCGGGUCAUGGAGAUUUCAAAGGCAGGACUUCAAAAGAAAAGCAUUUAAGUUUUCCAUAUAAAGUGUUGAAGACAGUGGAACAAGUUUGGCGAACAAAGUGGUGCCACAAGAUGCUCAAAGCUAUCUCUGUACCCUUCCUUGAAGUCCACUGAUAAGGCCUAACUGGGAAUUGGAGCAGACUGGGGAGCUGGCGAGGACUUCCAGCAGGGCAUCCAAAUAGCUGAAAACGGCUCGAUGCAGCUCACACCCUAUGGACUUAAGAGAAGAACCUGAAUCAUGUCAGUAAGCCUUACAGAUCUUUGGCACUGAUGUAGAGGCCUGCCACUCAUCGUGAUGUGCAGCUGACACAAUCACUUCACUCAAGUAUGUGCUGCAGUCCUGUCUCGAGGCUGUGACUCCAGCACACUGGCCGCUACCUUGAUCCCGUAGGAGACUCGGUCCGUACAAGCAGUCAGACCAUAAUCUGUCACGUUUCUAGAUCGGUCCCGGAUGUCCCCAGACAUCUGCACAGCUCUGAAAAGCGGUGGGCAAUAGUUGCUUCUCUUCUUUGAAUUAUAUAAUCAAUGAUUAAAAUAAUGUCAUGUAGAUACUCUGUAUGAGACCAGCCUCUCAAAAUAUUGUAGGGUGAAACAGCAAGGAAUUCCUUCAAGUUCUAUUAAUAAAAAGUUGGUAAAUGUUUUUUCCCUUCCCCCAACUUAUUUAAAGGUGUUUAAAAAGAAACAACAACAACAAC